AUUAGCUGUCAUAUCCAUUUAGUUUUCCUUUUGUGCUUGAAUUUCAGGCAGUUCUCAAGUUUUUGCGCAAUCCAAAAGCUUAAAAGUUUGCAUUGGGGAAGUUAUUAGGAUAAAACACCUUUAACAUGUGAGGUUUGGGAUUAUUAAGUGGUUUAACAAAUAUUCCCGAAAACACUUGAUCCUUUUUGAAGAUGGCUGUGUUGAAAUUUUUGACAUGUCCAAAGAAGAUUCGGAACUCACAAGUUUGUGACACAAUUACUUUUGAGUGCUGCACUACCACUUACUUCCUUG